CUCUGGGAGGCGGCCACAAAGUCUUGUGUCAAAGGCUGACUUUCAAUAGAUCGCAGCGAGGGAGCUGCUCUGCUACGCACGAAACCCUGACCCAGAAUCAGGUCGUCUACGAAUGAUUUAGCACUGGGUUCCCCACGAACAUGCGGUGCGCAACGGGUGAGAGGCGGCCC